rnacentral:rRNA from 1 species
GAUGAACGCUAGCUGGAGGCUUAAUACAUGCAAGUCGAGCGGGAUUGGGUAGCAAUACCCAUGAGAGCGGCGCACGGGUGAGUAACGCGUACACGACCUACCUCUAACAGGGGGAUAGCCCUGGGAAACUGGGAUUAAUACCGCAUAUAAUUCUGAAUAAUAAAGGUUUGGAAUGAAAGCUGAGGCGGUUAGAGAUGGGUGUGCGUCUGAUUAGCUAGUUGGUGGGGUAACGGCCUACCAAGGCGAUGAUCAGUAGGGGGCGUGAGAGCGUGGUCCCCCACACGGGUACUGAGACACGGACCCGACUCCUACGGGAGGCAGCAGUAAGGAAUAUUGGUCAAUGGGCGAAAGCCUGAACCAGCCAUCCAGCGUGCAGGAAGAAGGCCCUAUGGGUUGUAGACUGCUUUUAUCAGGGAAGAAACCUCUGGAUUUACUCCGGAGCUGACGGUACCUGAAGAAUAAGCACCGGCUAACUUCGUGCCAGCAGCCGCGGUAACAC